rnacentral:rRNA from 1 species
UCUACACCUCUCUAUUCGUCGGCAGCGUCAGAUGUGUAUAAGAGACAGCAGUUAAGGUCCCUAAAUGUGGCUCAGUGGUAAAGGAUGUGAUUUUACUUAGACAAUGGGGAUGUUGGCUUAGAGGCAGCCAUCAUUUAAACAGUGCGUAACAGCUGACCCAUCGAGUGAAAUUGCGCCGAAAAUGAUCGGGACUUAAGCCACAUACCGAAGCUAUGGAUUUCAGUUCCUCGGAACUGGAGUAGUAGGAAAGCGUUCCAAGUGCAGUGAAGGAGAAGGGGCAACCGACUCUGGAGCGCUUGGAAGUGAGAAUGCAGACAUGAGUAACGAUAAAGAUGGUUAAAGUCCAUCUCGCCGUAAGGAUAAGGUUUCCUGGGGAAGGCUCGUCCUCCCAGGGUUAGUCGGGAGCUAAGAUGAGGCCGUAAGGAGUAAUCGAUGCACAGAAGGUUAAUAUUCCUUCACCGGCUUGCAACUAUUCCCAGAGUGCGGAUCGACGGACCCUACAGACCUGUUUUGACAAGGCACUGCAAAGCUACGGCUGCGUGGGUGUAGGGAAAGAAGGUUCCAAGAAAAGCUCUGGAAUUACUAUGCAGGUCGCUCGUACCGCAAACCGACACAGGUAUCCGGGAUGAGUAUUCUAAGGCGCGCGAGUUAAAUCUCUCUAAGGAACUCGGCAAAUUGGCCCCGUAUCUUCGGUAUAAGGGGUGCCCCUCUAGGGGGGUCGCAGUUAAUAGCGUCAACCGACUGUUUAGCAAAAACACAGCUCUCUGCAAAGUCGCAAGACGACGUAUAGGGAGUGACACGUGACCAAUGCGAAAAGGUGAACGCCUGGGGUGCAAGCUCCGGGUCUAAGCCCUCGUGAAUGUCGGCCGUAACUAUAACGGUCCUAAGGUAGCGAAAUUCCUUGUCGGGUAAGUUCCGACCCGCACGAAUCGUGUAACGAGUUGACGACUGUCUCGGAGAGACGCUCGGUGAAAUUGUAGUAGCGGUUAAGAUGCCGCUUACCCGCAGCAGGACGGAAAGACCCUAUGCACCUUUACUGUAAGCUGUUAUUGUCGCUUGAUCUUCAUUGCGUAGAAUAGGUGGGAGACGUUGAUCCUUCGUUCCAGGACGAAGGCUAGUCGUAAUGUGAAAUACCACUCUUUGUUGGUUAGGCGUCUAACCUCUUUCCAUUAUCUGGAGGAGGGACAGUGAUAGCAGGUCAGUUUUACUGGGGCGGUAUCCUCCUAAAAAGUAACGGAGGAUUUCGAAGGUUCCCUCAGCCCGGUCGGUAAUCGGGCUAUAGAGCGCAAGAGUAUAAGGGAGCUUUACUGUGAGACCUACAAGUCGAGCAGUUGCGAAAGCAGGAUCUAGUGAUCCGGUGGUUGAAAGUGGAAUCGCCAUCGCUCAUAGGACAAAAGGUACUCCGGGGAUAACAGGCUUAUCGCGCCCAAGAGUUCAUAUCGACGGC